AUGUGUGUUAGAGAGAGCUCGACUUUAUAUUAUAUGGUAGCUCACUCAUUGCACGAUUGCACAGCAGUUUGGCAAGAAAAUUCACAUCAGUUCAGGGGCGCCCGCAUCACGACCUCACCGUGCCACCACAAUCUCUCCUUGAUUCACCACCGGACGAGCCCCUCCUCACACUUUGGCAAGCUGAUGCAGCAAAAAGCAAGAUUCACAAGUUCAUCUUCUGGAUGCUUUUCAGUACAUCUACUUCCCGUUGUGCAAGUGUGGAGGGCCGGUAAGUUCUACUACCAGUCUACGCCAAGUUCAGGGGCAUUGCCACUGAUGGAAAGGACAAUGAACCAACGACGUCGGAUCAUAGGUCGAAGGAGGCCGGGUCAAGGCACCAUGACAGGAGCGCCCUGGCCGAUCACAGCCACCACCGCAGGCCGUUCAACGCCACCUCCGCAGGUCGUCUCCAGCCAGUCGUCGCUGCCCCCGGCGCCUCCACGCCCAGACCCCCUUCCUCUGUUCCUCAAAAAUCUGUCAAUUCGAAAGCCUCAAAAACCCGUCAGUUGGAAAUCCGUUCAACAUCCGUGGCUGAGAACGUCCACGAGCUCCUCUGUGAUCAGUUCCUUCGGUCGACAGUGGGUUGUGGCUCCUUGGUGA
rnacentral:rRNA from 1 species